rnacentral:rRNA from 1 species
GGCUACGAGGACGACGCUGGCGGCGUGCCUAAUACAUGCAAGUCGAACGGCUUUUCUAUGGAAGCUUGCUUCCACUGAGAAGAUAGUGGCGAACGGGUGAGUAACACGUGGGUAACCUGCCCAUAAGAGGGGGAUAACAUCCGGAAACGGGUGCUAAUACCGCAUAGUUUUCUUGAUCGCAUGAUUGAGAAAGGAAAGACGGCCUUUGUGCUGUCGCUUAUGGAUGGACCCGCGGCGUAUUAGUUAGUUGGUGAGGUAACGGCUCACCAAGACGAUGAUACGUAGCCGACCUGAGAGGGUGAUCGGCCACAUUGGGACUGAGACACGGCCCAAACUCCUACGGGAGGCAGCAGUAGGGAAUCUUCCGCAAUGGACGAAAGUCUGACGGAGCAACGCCGCGUGAGUGAAGAAAGGUUUUCGGAUCGUAAAACUCUGUUGUCAGAGAAGAACAAGUUGGAGAGUAACUGCUCCAGCCUUGACGGUAUCUGACCAGAAAGCCACGGCUAACUACGUGCCAGCCGCUGC